UUGACUAUUAAACGAUAAUCAUUAUUAUUAGCAACAAGCCAUCGCGAGAUGGCCCGGAUAACGGAUUGUCGCGAGACGAACGGUUAUCUCCUCAUCAGGCUAAUCACGGAUUUAUGCCCGCUUACAAGCGGGCUUUUUUUUG
rnacentral:sRNA from 1 species